ACCAAAACGGGGUGGUGACUCUUAUUUUUCUUUUUACCAUAAUUAAAAAUCCCGCAUAUAUUAAUAUUUAAAAACUUUUGUAUCGGAAACCUAACACAUGUCGAGACUGAUACCAAAUGGCCCAAUGUUUGAAUGGGCUUCGGUCAACUAUCCAUGAUUAGCUUCAAUCUUGUCCGUUGGAUCAAAUUCUCCACCCACAUAUUGUCAAUACAAAAAAGGAGCAUCAAACCCUUCGCGAACAAAUCUCGCCCUAUAAAACGACUACUCAUCUCACUCACCAUCACAACCUGUAAAACCCUAAUCUAUUGGCGCCGUCUUCACCUUCCUUAGUUCGAUCAAGCCAUUGAUUUUUGCCUUUUUGUUCUCCAACUUCCUCUUUCUUAUUUAUUCUCUACUUUGAAACUCUCAUGUCGUUUUGAUUUUUUUGCUCUCUUUUAUAUUCUUCAGCUUUAUUUUCAAUGGGAAUUCGAAGAUAUACAGGCCAAAUGAUGUGAUUUUAUCGAGUUGAAUACCUGCAUUCAUAACAGUUUUGUUGAUUGGAUUCUUGAUUCUGAUGAAGUUUGAAUCUUUUGGCUUCUUUAGGAGUUGUGAUAGAUGUAAAUGUUGUAAUAAUAUAAAUUUUCUUCAGUUAUGUUAUAGUAAUGUGCUAAUACUUUAGUUAUGUUAUAGUAAUGUUUUAAUACUAGGAGUGUUGUUUUAAUGUCAUAAUAUAAAGCUCGAUUAGCUAUA